UGCACCCUUGGCCUUGGUGGUUAGAGCAUCUGCUUUGGAUGCAGGAGGCUGUGGGUUUAAACCCCAGUCAAGUCAUAUCAA